rnacentral:rRNA from 1 species
CGGACGGGUGAGUAAUGCUUGGGAAUCUGGCUUAUGGAGGGGGAUAACGACGGGAAACUGUUGCUAAUACCGCGUAGAAUCGAGAGAUGAAAGUGCGGGACCGCAAGGCCGCAUGCCAUAGGAUGAGCCCAAGUGGGAUUAGGUAGUUGGUGGGGUAAAGGCCUACCAAGCCGACGAUCUCUAGCUGGUCUGAGAGGAUGACCAGCCACACCGGGACUGAGACACGGCCCGG